AAAAAUUUAGUUUAAGUUAAAACAUUAACUUGUCAAGUUAAAAAUAUUAAAUAUAAUAAUUUUUA
rnacentral:tRNA from 2 species